rnacentral:sRNA from 1 species
ACAGAUUCCAACCACCAAAUCUCGUGUAAUACGAUAUUUAUCCACUCUCGACAGUUAAAUUUUAAUUUAACGCAGCGAGAGCGAGCCUUGCGUUUUAAAUUUGAAAAUUUAACUGUCUCGAGUGGAUAAAUAUCGUAUCACACUCGAUUCAGUGGUAGACUCUAU